AACGAACGCUGGCGGCAGGCCUAACACAUGCAAGUCGAGCGAGGACUUCGGUCCUAGCGGCGGACGGGUGAGUAACGCGUGGGAACGUGCCCUUUGGUACGGAAUAGCCCCGGGAAACUGGGAGUAAUACCGUAUGUGGUCGAGAGACGAAAGAUUUAUCGCCAAAGGAUCGGCCCGCGUUGGAUUAGGUAGUUGGUGGGGUAAUGGCCUACCAAGCCGACGAUCCAUAGCUGGUUUGAGAGGAUGAUCAGCCACGCUGGGACUGAGACACGGCCCAGACUCCUACGGGAGGCAGCAGUGGGGAAUCUUAGACAAUGGGGGAAACCCUGAUCUAGCCAUGCCGCGUGAUCGAUGAAGGCCUUAGGGUUGUAAAGAUCUUUCAGCUGGGAAGAUAAUGACUGUACCAGCAGAAGAAGCCCCGGCUAACUCCGUGCCAGCAGCCGCGGUAAAAC
rnacentral:rRNA from 1 species